CUUAUUGGUUGAUAGCGCUAGGUGGCGUCCUAUAAGAGUGCCUGCUGCUUUGUCUUUUGGCCUUUGACCUCUCGCUGGGUGCCCUUCGGCGUUCACUUCCGCGUCCGCUUCGUGCCUCUCGGCAGCACAGACAGCUGCUGCGCAAACGGGGUUAAUGCCGCUCGCGGACCCAUGCCGCAUGCAACUGAACUUAAGGUAGGAUUCCCCCUGGUUACGGUGUAGCGUAUAGCUUAGUUUAGCUUAUAGCCUCUAUGCUAUGUUUGUAGGCUCCCGUGUCUGCGCCUCUCGCCUCUCAAUGAGCGACAAGCUUGAUGUCUGGUGGUAAGUGUGUCCGUCUUCCUGGUGCAUGAGCUGUCCUAUUCCAAUGUGAUUUAUUCCUCCUUUUUUUCUGUUUUUGGUAGACGCUGCCGUCUUGCCCGUGUGCAAAGUUUCGAGCUGACACAUAUUGCAUGUUUGUUGUGCCGGUUCUGCAUGUCCGCCGGUCCCAUCUGCUUGCUGUAAAUGACACUUUUCUACCGCGGCUACGGCACGCUUGGUAGAUGCGAGCGACCCUCCAGUGUCGACAACUAGCUGGGGGCUACGUUUGGGGCUUUCUGCGGGAGCUACCCCACUCCCCUCUACGGAACGCUUUUCCCCUCACCAAACCACGAACUGUGCCGCUCGCGUUGACUUGAGUGAAGUCAGAACUGACUGAACUGUUGCUCUACGUUGCAUCAAAAUGUUUAUGUUGUAAAAAUUGUGUUUUAUUUCCCAGGAGCUGCGGGUCAAAUGGUGGUGGUGGUGGUGGUCGUUCGGUGGUGGUAACUUUGUUUGUAUAUAUUUGCAAAGCACUUUCAGUUGAUUUUGGUUUUGUAGUGGUUUUGUUGUGUUUUGUUGCUUUAUUUAGGUUGCCCCAUUUUAGUUCGCUCCAUCCGUCCAGCCUAACACCAGCUCCCUGGCUCUUUGAGGGUGAGUGUAUGUGGGUGUGUGCGUGUGAGUUUAUUGGCGCCAAAUGUUUUAGAAGACAAGAGCCACUAUUUUAAUCAAGUUGAAAUAAACGUCUGUUUUAAGGAUUUAUAAUAAGCAUAAUAAAUAUUGUAAAUGGAGCCAGUGUCUCUGUCGCCUCAUUCAAGGUAAGCUUACCUGGGUGCCUUAGCUUCAUUAUUCCCUCACCCUCCCCGCCACACUUGGUUGUUUGUAAUGCAAUCUCUUGGAGCAAUGUCCGCAAUGCACACCAAGCCUUUCCAUCCAUGGUGGGAUCAGUGCAACAUUUGCAACACAUUGAUGCAAAGGAGGGUGCCCCACCAACAUGAUUCAUGUUCACACAUUCACGGUGUAGUAAUAACACUGUACCUCUUCUUUGAUGCGCGACGCCAGACUUCCUCCAAGCAGUCAGAAUCAAGGAAGUCAAACAAUUAAUGGCGUCUGUCUCAUGCUGAUGUACGCAAGGGUUGGAGGAUCAGAAGACGCAAUGAAGAAAAACAAGAGGACGGACUGCACCUUUCCCGGAUGUGGGAUACUCGGGCCUCACCCUGUGGCCAGGCCCGGGGGAGGGGCUCGCAGGUGAGCGCCUGGUGGUCAGAUUUUCACCAGCCCGAAGCCACACAGGAUUUCCAGCCCCCAUAGACCCACCGACUGCGGAGGAUGGCAUCAGGGUCCGGUGCAAUGUGGUUUGGUGAGGGGCCCUCCGAGCGGCAGCUGUCCCCCGAUUUUAAUUGUAUCAUUAGCUAUCAUCCACAUACACCCCUAUCAUAUACAUGCACCCUAUCAUAUACAUGUCCUUUGUCCUUAUGUCCUUGUUCGUCUUUAUAGUUGUCACAGACAUUUAUUUGCUGAUAUCGUUCUGUAUGUUUCUGUUGUUCUGUUCUUGUUGUCACAAUUGUUGUUGGUGCUGCUGUUGUCUCGUCUCUCUUUUUUUUUUUUUGUCCCUCUCUCAUCCCCGCACCCCCACCCCCUGUUUCCUUUUCUCUUCUUCUCUGUCAAAAAAGAAAAAAAGAAGAAAAAAACGCUCUAUUUGUUCCAAGGCUGUGUGGUUCAUUCUCUGCAUCUUGGGAUCCAAACUCCGGCCCAGGCUGAUCGUGACAGAAAUGGCCAUAUUAAAAAGAUGAUUUGAUAAAAAUAGAGUAUCCUUCCAUUAGCACCUCCGAUCAAAGGGAAGUGUAGCUCUCUGUACAUCCGAAAAACUCCAGAGGAUCUUAUGGCAACAAAAAAAUUCCUACCUAUUUCAAACUAGUAAAUACCCUGAGACAAAAAUUAGUGCAUCCUAAAGACAAGGCUCCAAAUCAAAAACAGAGCAAUGUGGUCUAUUCUAUCCACUAUAAAGAUGAGGAAUGCAGAUAAAUGUUGUGAUUGGCUCAAAACUCAAGACAAGUCUGUUGCGCCAUUUUCACAGAGCAAUUUAAGGUCAUUGCACUUUGCAUGUUCCUAGGACAAUACAUUUCUGCCUGCAUUCUUCUGUUUUUAGCAAGUUUGGACGCUUAUAAAGGACAUUUGCCUGCUACAAAGAGGAUACCAUUUUCUGCCUGAAUGAGGUGAGCUGUUUUCUCUAUUCAAGUUUUAGAAACUGCUGGAACAUUUCUAGUUUGAAACAUGUACAGUACGUUUGAAUGUGUGUAAAUCUGAGGUUGACUUAGGUCAAUUUUGAGCAUUGGACAAUUGCAGCAUUGUGUUUUUAGAGUGGCCCUCUCUACUUUGCCCUCCUAUUUUUGUUUAACGCCAUGUUAAAAUGUCUUGGGAAGCAUGAGCCUGACAUCAGCCAGAUGGUCCAAAGCUGGCCAGCACUUUUCACUGAAAGCCAGGUUUGUGAAAUUGUCCUUUAAAUUUGUUUUUUUGUGUUAUUAAUGUUAUAAGUAACUCUGCCUGAAUAUCAAAAUUGAGCAUAUUUCAUAUUUUUCAGGUGUACUUGGAGUUUAACAGGGUUGCUGGUAGAAAUCUUAAAGAAGAGUUCUUUGGUGUUCUUGAUGGUUUGUGUCCAAGCGUGAUGGAAAUCUUCAAGAGGAAGACAGGUCGGAUAGGCAAGCAGUUAGCUGACCUGCUACAACAAACAACGAGCACUGAGCCAACAGCCAUUUGAUGCCUUGUCCUGAGAGGACUUCCAGUCAUUCUUGGGGAUGAUGCAUCUAUGUUCUUUAAGAGCAGUUUGAAUCUUAAUGAGGGAGCCUCCGUGGGAAUCCUCUGCUAUGAGGACACCAGCACUGCAAGCCCAGCCAGCCCAGCAUUGCCACAACUAAACCCCUCAAGAGUGGGGAUCAUCCUAGAGGGUAGCCUUGUAAUGGAAGCACCCACCAACCUACCUCAGGCCAUGUGCCUCUUGUUUGGCUUUACCUACGCACUCCACCUGCAGUACCCGAAGUGCUUAAAAAACACAUUUACAUUCAUUCAGCAGGUAAUGCUAAAUUUAGGUCGAAGUGAGCUACCUCCCAAGGUUCAAAAGCUGAAGAAUGAUCUUGCAGUGUAAGACACAUUUAUGCUCAUGGCACAAUUCUUCAGGUCCGUGUCUGGAUUGUUGCACAAAUACAUUGUACUGACUGGAGCAAAUAUUCUUGCAGUUGCUCAUUUUGUAUGUGGUUUUUCUUGUACUGGAUGUAUUGCUUGUUUUACUGAAAUUAUUUUACAGAGGACACAUUUUAGAAAGUUGCAGGGUUUUUUUUUUUUUUUUUUUACCAACUCUGGUCCUCACUGCAUAGUUGUUCUUAAUGCCCGCUUUAUUGUGUGGCAGACAAAGCAUGCAGUUUUUUCCUUUUGCACUUGCAGUACAUGCUGCUACAUGA